rnacentral:rRNA from 1 species
UCUUCCGCAAUGGACGAAAGUCUGACGGAGCAACGCCGCGUGAGUGAUGAAGGUUUUCGGAUCGUAAAACUCUGUUGUUAGGGAAGAACAAGUACCGUUCGAAGAGGGCGGUACCUUGACGGUACCUAACCGGAAAGCCACGCCUCACUACGUGCCCGCAGCCGCGGUAAUACGUAGGUGGCAAGCGUUGUCCGGAAUUAUUGGGCGUAAAGCGCGCGCAGGCGGUUUCUUAAGUCUGAUGUGAAAGCCCCCGGCUCAACCGGGGAGGGUCAUUGGAAACUGGGGAACUUGAGUGCAGAAGAGGAGAGGGGAAUUCCACGUGUAGCGGUGAAAUGCGUAGAGAUGUGGAGGAACACCAGUGGCGAAGGUGACUCUCUGGUCUGUAACUGACGCUGAGGCGCGAAAGCGUGGGGAGCGAACAG